rnacentral:piRNA from 1 species
UUGAGGACCCUGAUGCAACUUUAAAUAC